rnacentral:rRNA from 1 species
AGAAUCUUCCGCAAUGGGCGAAAGCCUGACGGAGCGACGCCGCGUGGAGGACGAAGGCCUUCGGGUUGUAAACUCCUGUCACGAGUUAAGAAGUUCCUGUUGCGAACAGCGGCAGGGAUGGACGAAGGCUCGAGAGGAAGCACUGGCUAACUCUGCGCCAGCAGCCGCGGUAAUACAGAGAGUGCGAACGUUGUUCGGAAUUACUGGGCUUAAAGCGCACGUAGGCGGCGUUGCAAGUGUCGGGUGAAAGCCCACGGCUCACCCGUGGAAUUGCCAGGCAAACUGCAAUGCUCGAGUGUGGUAGGGGAGAGCGGAACUCCUGGUGGAGCGGUGAAAUGCGUAGAUAUCAGGAGGAACACCGGUGGCGAAGGCGGCUCUCUGGUCCACAACUGACGCUGAGGUGCGAAAGCUAGGGUAGCGAAC